UACGUAGGGUGCAAGCGUUGUCCGGAAUUAUUGGGCGUAAAGAGCUCGUAGGCGGUUUGUCGCGUCUGCUGUGAAAACCCGAGGCUCAACCUCGGGCCUGCAGUGGGUACGGGCAGACUAGAGUGCUGUAGGGGAGACUGGAAUUCCUGGUGUAGCGGUGAAAUGCGCAGAUAUCGGGAGGAACACCGGUGGCGAAGGCGGUUCUCUGGGCCUUACCUGACGCUGAGGAGCGAAAGCGUGGGGAGCGAACAGG
rnacentral:rRNA from 1 species